rnacentral:lncRNA from 1 species
GCUGGCCUUGAACUCAGAAAUUUGCCUGCCUCUGCCUCCCAAGUGCUGGGAUUAAAGGUGUGAGCCACCAUGCCCGGCUUUUUAUGGCUUUAUAUAUUAAAUAUUUCAUGGUAUUUAGGAAAUAAUGGAGGACAAUAUUGCAUCACAACACUGCAGGACUUAGCUAGGGAACAGCCUGGCAUAGCUUAGGCACAGUAGGAGUCCAACCAAGACUCCUAUGGGAAGAGUGGCACCUAGAGAGCUGAGGGAGUGGGCCAGGUGAGGGAGGAAGGCAGUGGUGAAAAGAAACGCUAUGGUCAGGAGUUUGACUCAGCUUCAAAAGGGCUGCUGAAGUUGGCAGUUUGGAGGGCAGAGAGCGCCACAUAGUUUAACUUGGCCUCAUUUUAGAGUGCUAUGGCCUCUAGGCCAGAUUUCUGGCUUUGAUAACUGCCCAUUGGCUAGGUUGUGGUUGGCACAUGAGAUGGCUUUGCUUUGUGUCUUUGACAUGAAGCUCUCGGGCUGCUGGAGUACGUGAUGACAUGCUAGACUUUUCUUAGGCGCCAGUCCGUGUCUGUCUGUCCAUCCACCAUCAUCCAGCAACUAUAAACAUCUACUCUGGGGAGUCCUGGGGGUAGGUACUCAGAAUCGAGUGUCCAUCCACCAUGGUCCAGGGCUUCCAACCAGUGACAAGUAACAUUUCCAGGUUUCUAUUUGGCUUCUGUAUUUCAAGCACAUUCUCCACUGCCACAAGUUCAAGGCCAGCUGGGGGCUGCAGACAGAGUCAAGUUUAAGGAGUGAGUGAUUGGGACUCCAUGACCUUCUCACAUGAAACCCUCAGGCUGCUGUGUUUGGUAACUUUCUGUUCUGUGGCUGUAGAAACUGAGACUUAAAAGUGAUGUGACCUUUAGCUCCAAGCUAAGGGGCUUUUCUCCUUAUGUCAAGCUAGCUCCUGCUGAUGCUGAGCGUGGCCCAAAAGGACUAAAUCCACGCUUCUCUCUCUCUGGAAGAUGUUGUUACACACGGCUUAUUGUUCUCUGUUCUCUGAGAAUGUGUGUCAUUGUUCUUUAGGGGAAGUUUUGCCCAGGAGCAAAGGUUUCAGAGUGUGAGCAGGAACCAGGUCCCUGGAAGUCAUCUUUAUGGGCCAUGUCACCCAACCACCUCACUGAUGACUUGAUUGUUCACAGGAUGAAAGAAAACUUAGUAUAAAGGAACACAGAAAGUCUUGAGACCCCUGGAGAAAGUCCUUGACCUAAAGAGUCCCGGGAGAGGAGUCAGAGCAGAGGCUUCUGGAUGGAACCAGCCCCAUCUAGCUACCAGGAGAGCUGUUUACAUGGAAUCCAAGUUGCCUGCCAGGGGCAGAGCACGUUUUUCCACAGCUGCUGAGAAAGACGAGUGAGUCAAGACAGAAUAACAAAAAGCCACUUCAAAAACACACCAGAAGAAGUACGAAGCUGAGACAAUCACAGGACAAUAGAGCCCAUUGAAGAGGAGCCUGGAGUUGGAGGUAUUGGCUCAAGUCCCUCCGACUGUCAUUCAGUUGCCAUGAGACUUUAGGUAAGUUACUAUCAAAUGAACCACAUCCCUUGCCAAAGUAGGGGCUAAGAUUUUUUUUGUUUUGGUUUGGUUUUUCGAGACAAGAGUAUCUCUGUGUAGCCUUAGCUGUGUUGGAACUCACUCUGUAAACCAGGCUGGCCUUGAACUUAGAACCCAGAGAUCUGCCUGCCCCUGCUUCCCAAGUGCUGGGAUUAAAGGCGUGUGUGAGACAGGGUCUUACAUGGCUCAGGCUGACCGAUAGCUGCCUGUAUAUUUGAGGAUGGCCUGGAGUUCCUGCCUUCACCUCCCAGAUGUUGGGGUCACAGGCAUGCUCAGUUACUUUGGGUUUCGAUUUUCAGUUUUCUUUUUUCCUCUUUUGGAAAGAGGAUCUCAAAGAUGUAGCCCAGACUACAGGUACCCAUGGUGCUGCAUUAGUUUAAAAGGUGAGAUCUCAACCCUUGGGAGGUACAACAGUCAAUCAGUCAAUCAAUUAUCAAUAAAUCAGUGUGAUCCUCAGUGUACCCCGGACAUUUUAAAUUUAACUAAUUGAAUGUGUGGGUGUUCUGCUGCAUAUAUGCAACAGGCCAGAAGAGGGCAUCAGAUCCCCUUAUAGAUGGUUGUGAGUCACCAUGUGAUUGAAGGGCUGGGAAUUGAACUCAGGACCUCUGGAAGAGCAGUCAGUGCUCUUAACCGCUGGACCACCUCGCCAGCCCUAGCAACACUAGCUUUUAAUACUCUUCAAAUGAUUCCAACGUCCAGGCAAGAACCCUGAUCCUCCCAGAACUUCUCGAAGUUUAGCGUGUGCAGGAAAUCAGCUGGUCUGGUACAGCUGUUUGACAUCUGCAGUUCUACUGAAUCCACAGGUGAUGCCCACGACCACACCUGGGAUGAUAUUGUCCCUGUUUAUGUUCCUGUCCUUGUUCCCUCCAAUGACACCGUGGGCAAGCGUUGUCCUCCCGCUCUGUUUUCAUGGGCAUAUCACCUGCCACUUGAAUUCUCAUUGGAUGCUGUGGGUCUGAAUCAGAUAGACAAUCCAAGAGGCUAUCCUGCUCCCGCGGGUAGCCAAGAGGCUUUGUAGCCCAGACUACAUGUACCCAUUGGGGUUGUUUUUUUUGGUUUCUUGGUUUUUUUGGUUUCUUGGUUUUUUUUUUAGUUUCAUAUUUUUAUUUUCUUCUAUAUAACAGAGUUGAAUAUGCUUUUUUUCUUACUUAUUCACUUUACAUCCCACUCAUUGAUCCUCUCCCAGUCACCCCUUCCUGCAAUCCUUCCCUCCAUCCCUGCUCCCCUUCCCCUCUGAGCGGGUGGGGGUCCCCCUGAUAAUUCCCCUACUAGCACAUCGAAUCUCUGUGGGGCUAGGUGAAUCUUCUUCCACUGAGGCCAUACAAGGUAGCCCAGCUAAAAGACUAUGUCUCAUGGACAGGCAACAGCUUUUGGGAUAGCCUCUGCUCCAGUUGUUGGGGACUUACAUGAAGACCAAGCUGCCAAUCCAGCCUGUGUAUACUCUACGGUUGGUGGUUCAGUCUCUGAAACCCCCCAAGGGUCCAGGCUAGUUGACUCUGUUGGUCUUCCUGUGGAGUUCCUAUCCCCUUUGGAGACCAAAAUCCUAUUCUUUCAUAAGAGUCCCCAGGCUCUGUCCACUGUUUGGUUGUGGAUGUCUGCCUCUGUCUGAAUUAGCUGCUGGGUAGAGCCUUUCAGGACAGCCAUGCUAGAUUCCUGUCUGCAAGUAUAACAGAGUAUCAUUAAUAGUGUCAAGGAUUGGUGCUUGGCCAUGGGAUAGGUCUCAAGUUGGGCCGGUUAUUGCUUGGCCAUUCCCUUAGUCUCUGCUCCAUCUGCUGUCCCUGCAUUUCUUGUAGACGGGAUACAUUUUGGGUUGAAUGUUUUGUGGAUGGGUUGGUGUCACUAUUGGAAGAGGCCUUUUUUUUUUUUUUUUUUUUUUUUUGGUUUUUCCGAGACAGGGUUUCUCUGUAGCCCUGGCUGUCCUGGAACUCACUUUGUAGACCGG